ACAAACUUUUCAGAUUUAGAACCCACGCGAGCGAGCGAACAAAGAAAGCGACCACCAAAUGCCAUCAUAAUUCACUGCAAAAUCCCCCAUUGAAAGUGAGUUUCAGAUCCACUGGAUGCGAAGACUAUGCGACAGGGAGGAACAGAGGUUCAAAAUCAGAAUCGAUUUGAUGAAGAUGAGGAUGUCACCUUUUUGUUUCUUUUUUCGUUUCUACCUCACCUCCUUCGAUUGUGCAAUGGCUGGAUCUAAGGAGAAUUAUCCCGUUGUAAUGUGCACCCUAGAAGAACACAAGAAGCUUCAAAUCUAUAAUCUUGACCAGAAGGUCGGUCUUUAACAUAAAGAAAUCAUGGAUCACAGAUUUAGAGGCUUGUUUGACCCAAAAGUUGGACCAAACAUCUUCUGCGGAGUACUUACCUGUGACAAGAGACGGGUCUAACUGUAACUACUUGUAAAGUAUCAUACCAAUGGAAGGGGAUCAUCAUCUGUGAGUCGGGCUCAAGCAGUAUAACAUUAACCUUUUAUAGAUGUUGAAAAGUAUUCAAGAUGUUCAGAAGUGAGGCGGAUGAUGUGCUUCAAGAAGUAUCUUGAUUUGCCGCAACCUACAGGUAUGCAUCCUUCGUUCCUCGCAAGUUGAUCCGCAUAAGAUUUUCAAGAAGUAUCUUGAUUUGCCGCAACAUACAAGUAUGUGUUCUUUCUCAAUUUACGGCGUCAUAAGAAGACAAACUGCAUCAAAAUCAUGUUAAGAAUGUUAUGGUGUGGCGUUGUUGAAACUUAGACUUUAUUAUUACCAAAGGAUCCCUAGAGUCCGAAUGUAGAAUAAAAGUUACACAAUUGACUUUCAAGGUCAAAGAUGUCACUUUUCUGGAAUUGUAGUUUUUUUGCUACAUAUUUAAGAGCAGGAUUUUGUCUGCAUUGCAACUGGUUUUAAGUAUUAAAUUUUAAAUCUUGGUAAAAAUUGUUGAGAAUUUGCAUUACAUAUUAAAUAAUUCAAAGUUGCCC